rnacentral:rRNA from 1 species
AGGCCCCUUUGGGGGUGCUCGAGUGGCGAACGGGUGAGUAACACGUGGGUGAUCUGCCCUGCACUUCGGGAUAAGCUUGGGAAACUGGGUCUAAUACCGGAUAGGACCACGGCAUGCAUGUGCUGUGGUGGAAAACGUUUUAGUGGUGUGGGAUGGGCCCGCGGCCUAUCAGCUUGUUGGUGGGGUGAUGGCCUACCAAGGCGACGACGGGUAGCCGGCCUGAGAGGGUGUCCGGCCACACUGGGACUGAGAUACGGCCCAGACUCCUACGGGAGGCAGCAGUGGGGAAUAUUGCACAAUGGGCGCAAGCCUGAUGCAGCGACGCCGCGUGGGGGAUGACGGCCUUCGGGUUGUAAACCUCUUUCACCAUCGACGAAGGUCCGGGUUUUCUCGGGUUGACGGUAGGUGGAGAAGAAGCACCGGCCAACUACGUGCCAGCAGCCGCGGUAAUACGUAGGGUGCGAGCGUUGUCCGGAAUUACUGGGCGUAAAGAGCUCGUAGGUGGUUUGUCGCGUUGUUCGUGAAAUUCCCUGGCUUAACUGGGGGCGUGCGGGCGAUACGGGCAGACUGGAGUACUGCA